rnacentral:rRNA from 1 species
UACGUAGGUGGCUAGCGUUGUCCGGAUUUACUGGGCGUAAAGAGCGCGCAGGCGGUCGUUCAAGUCGAGUGUGAAAGCCCCCGGCUCCAACUGGGGAGGGUCACUCGAUACUGAUCGACUCGAAGGCAGAAGAGGGAAGCGGAAUUCCCGGUGUAGUGGUCGAAAUGCGUAGAUAUCGGGAGGAACACCAGUGGCGAAGGCGGCUUUCUGGUCUGCUCUUGACGCUGAGGCGCGAAAGCGUGGGGAGCGAACAGGA